rnacentral:rRNA from 1 species
AACGAACGCUGGCGGCAUGCCUAACACAUGCAAGUCGAACGAAACCUUCGGUUCUAGUGUCGCACGGGUGCGUAACGCGUGGGAACCUGCCCUUAGGUUCGGAAUAACUCCCCGAAAGGGGUGCUAAUACCGGAUAAUGUCUUCUGACCAAAGAUUUAUCGCCUUUGGAUGGUCCCGCGUUGGAUUAGCUAGUUGGUAGGGUAAAAGCCUACCAAGGCGACGAUCCAUAGCUGGUCUGAGAGGAUGAUCAGCCACACUGGGACUGAGACACGGCCCAGAAUCCUACGCGAGGCAGCAGUGGGGAAUAUUGGAACAUGGGCUGAGGCCUGAUCCAGCAAUGACGCGUGAGUGAUGAAGGCCUUAGGGUUGUAAAGCUCUUUUACCCGGGAUGAUAAUGACAGUACCGGGAGAAUAAGCUCCGGCUAACUCCGUG